UGCAGCGCAGUUAGGGAAGAAAGUAACAGCAGCAGCAGAAGACAUGUUGUUGCCUCUUGUAGACAAAGGCAGUCAUUUCUCCUGCAGCCAAUGAGCACCACACAGCAUGAUUAUUCUGUUUUAUAGCUGCUGUUCUGUGUGCGUGUUUGAGGUUUUACAUGAACACUUUUACCACCUGUCGGGAAUCUCCACUGCUCUACAGCAUGUUACUUUCCUCUCCAUACAUCAAUGUAGAAGCCUCAAUAUUAAGCUUUCUCAAGCACUUGGCUUCUGUAACCUCCACAAUUUCUAGAGUGGAUUAAAGCCCAAUAUCACAAAUUCAAAAUGGGCCUCUGCAUGAUGUUUUGAUGAGCCUGUUCUGUCACAUACGUGAUGCGAGGGCGAGUUGGGU